GUCUACUGCAAAAUAGUUUUUGAAAUAUUAAAAGCUUAACGAGCUUGACUUGUAUUUUUCAGCUGAUAUUAUGGUCAAGUUAUCUGAAAGAUGGGUGUCAGAUGUUUGGACAGGGGGCGCAAUUUCAGUGCUUGCCCUAGGUGCUAUUUUCCCUAGAUACGCCUCUGCAAAUAGGGCAUUAUGUUAUUAUUAAGAUAGUAUGUGUUGCUACUCAGUGACCUAACAGUUCUGUUUUUUCUUGGAAUCAGUUAUCAUUUAGCCAGGUCUUACUGUAACCUGAUUUAUAAGCAUGUUUCUGGAAGUGCUCCUAUUAUCGAUUGAUCUUGACUGUCUUUGUCUAAGAGGAGGUUUUUCCCUCCAGAACCUCAGUUGAAGAGCUCCAGCUUAGGAAAGUAUACAAAGAUGUUUUCAGCUGAUAUUAUGGUGUCAUCUGGAUGCACUGAAAAACUAGAAGUCACAAUAUAUAUGUCCCAGCUGGGCAAGCCAAUGACAGAGGUCGUUCACACGAUCUCAUUUCCGGGGGCUGGCAGAAAGGCAGGAGGAUUGGUCCAAAAGAUGGCUCUGCAAUCAAAAUAGCACUGAGGUGAUUUUCUUCCAAAAAAUGCCAGAAUGGAGACUCUUGGAGGCCAUUGCUGGACUGCUGGGGACCCAUGGAGCAUGAUUCCUUUUGAUGUUCAAUUGUGGAGACAUCCUCUGUCCUCUUUAUCAUAUUUCUCAUAGUGUGUAUUUUCACUGUUUUGAGAUGUGCUGACUGAUUCUUUAAUAAAAUGUCCUUUUAAACUGA